CCCUUAGAUGUUCUGGGCUGCACGCGCGCUACACUGAAGCGUUCAACGAGUAUUCACCUUGCCCGGGAGGGUUGGGUAAUCUUUUGAAAACGCUUCGUGAUGGGGAUAGAUUAUUGCAAUUAUUAAUCUUCAACGAGGAAUUCCUAGUAAGCGCGAGUCAUCAGCUCGUGCUGAUUACGUCCCUGCCCUUUGUACACACCGCCCGUCGCUCCUACCGAUUGAGUGUUCCGGUGAAUAAUUCGGACUGCAGCACUGCUUGGUCUCCAGGCUUUGCAGCGGAAAGUUUAGUGAACCUUAUCACUUAGAGGAAGGAGAAGUCGUAACA
rnacentral:rRNA from 1 species